rnacentral:tRNA from 1 species
AGCUAGUUACAGAUGAGGGAAGAAGACGUCGAUUAACGCCAAUCAUCGUUUCUACAUUCAUAAUGCUGGGGUCGGUGGUUCAAGUCCACCCGUAGCUACCA